rnacentral:rRNA from 1 species
GAUGAACGCUGGCGGCGUGCCUAAUACAUGCAAGUCGAGCGAACCACUUCGGUGGUGAGCGGCGAACGGGUGAGUAACACGUAGGUUAUCUGCCCAUCAGACGGGGACAACGAUUGGAAACGAUCGCUAAUACCGGAUAGGACGAAAGUUUAAAGGUGCUUCUGGCACCGCUGAUGGAUGAGCCUGCGGCGCAUUAGCUAGUUGGUAGGGUAAAGGCCUACCAAGGCAACGAUGCGUAGCCGACCUGAGAGGGUGAACGGCCACACUGGGACUGAGACACGGCCCAGACUCCUACGGGAGGCAGCAGUAGGGAAUCUUCGGCAAUGGGCGAAAGCCUGACCGAGCAACGCCGCGUGAAUGAUGAAGGCCUUCGGGUUGUAAAAUUCUGUUAUAAGGGAAGAACGACUUUAGCAGGAAAUGGCUAGAGUGUGACGGUACCUUAUGAGAAAGCCACGGCUAACUACGUGCCAGCCGCCGCAGUAAUAC